rnacentral:rRNA from 1 species
GACGGAGGAUGCAAGUGUUAUCCGGAAUCACUGGGCGUAAAGCGUCUGUAGGUGGUCAAAUAAGUCAACUGUUAAAUCUUGAGGCUCAACUUCAAAAUCGCAGUCGAAACUAUUAGACUAGAGUAUAGUAGGGGUAAAGGGAAUUUCCAGUGGAGCGGUGAAAUGCGUAGAGAUUGGAAAGAACACCGAUGGCGAAGGCACUUUACUGGGCUAUUACUAACACUCAGACACGAAAGCUAGGGUAGCAAAUGGG